rnacentral:rRNA from 1 species
AUGAAGAAGGAGGUGAACUCGAUGAACAUGGCCCCCGUCUCGAUCAGGCCAGCGUGCCUCAGGAUCGCCGGGAUGGCGAGGCUUCCCAUGGCAGACAUGCCGGUCAAGAACUUUGCGGCUUUCAUCCAGCUGAAAAAUGAGAUGCCCUGUCUGAUUAUAACUGUUAUGGUAGCAAAUGUGUGGAUCAGCAUCCUAAGUUGUGAUUGCCUAAUGCCUAUCAUGUCUGCUGUGCUGAUAUACAUGUUCAGUUUACUACUUCUCCAAAGGAAAGAGAAUCAUCAAUUUAGAACUUACGCUCCACCCUCUCCGCUACUCAAGAACCGUGUGGAUCCGUCGCCAAAGAACAGGCAUGGCAUUGGCACAAUGAUAUACAUGAGUGCUGCAGAACAGAAAAAGCAUGCACAAGAACGUCAGUGGAAAAGCCACAGGAACUUGCUCACAGUGAUUGAGGAGGAUAACAAACUAGCAGUCACCUGCUAA